GACGAACGCUGGCGGCGUGCUUAACACAUGCAAGUCGAACGGGUCUGCCCUGUUUUUUGCGGGGUGGGUCAGUGGCGAACGGGUGAGUAACACGUGAGUAACCUGCCCCUCACUUCUGGAUAACCGCUUGAAAGGGUGGCUAAUACGGGGUGUUCUGGCUGUGCCGCAUGGUGUGGCUGGGAAAGAUUCACUUUUGUGGUGUUUUGGUGGGGGAUGGGCUCGCGGCCUAUCAGCUUGUUGGUGGGGUGAUGGCCUGCCAAGGCUUUGACGGGUAGCCGGCCUGAGAGGGUGGGCGGUCACACUGGGACUGAGAUACGGACCAGACUCCGGGGGGAGGCAGCAGUGGGGGGUAUUGCACAAUGGGCGGAAGCCUGAUGCAGCGACGUCGCGUGAGGGAUGGAGGCCUUCGGGUUGUGAACCUCUUUCGCCGGUGAAGAAGGUCCUGCUCUUUGUGGUGGGGUUGACGGUAGCCGGGUUAUGAAGCGCCGGCUAACUACGUG
rnacentral:rRNA from 1 species